rnacentral:rRNA from 1 species
GACGAACGCUGGCGGCGUGCUUAACACAUGCAAGUCGAACGGAAAGGCCUGCUUUCCCUUGUGGAUUGCGGGUACUCGAGUGGCGAACGGGUGAGUAACACGUGAGUGAUCUGCCCCCAACUUGGGUAUAAGCCUGGGAAACUGGGUCUAAUUCCCGAUAGGACUGCAGGGUGGUGCCUGUGGUGGAAAACGAUUUUCUAGUGGUUGGGGAUGAGCUCGCGGCCUAUCAGCUUGUUGGUGGGGUAAUGGCCUACCAAGGCGGCGACGGGUAGCCGGCCUGAGAGGGUGGACGGUCACAUUGGGACUGAGAUACGGCCCAGACUCCUACGGGAGGCAGCAGUGGGGAAUAUUGCACAAUGGGCGGAAGCCUGAUGCAGCGACGCCGCGUGGGGGAUGACGGCCUUCGGGUUGUAAACUCCUUUCGACCGCGAGGAAGCCACCUGGUUGGAAGGGUGGUGACGGUAGUGGUAGAAGAAGCACCGGCUAACUACGUG